ensembl:lncRNA
UUUCAUUUAUUUUCAGCUGCGGGUCUUCGUUGCUGCAGGAGGGCUUUCUCUAGUUGUGGCGAACAGUUCUCUAGCUGCAGUGUGCGGGCUUCUCGCUGUGGUGGCUCCAUGCAGAGCAUGGGCUCUAGCAGCUCAGGCUUUUGUAGUUGCGGCACAUGCGUUGAGUUGCUCCACAGCACGUGGUAUCUUUCUGAGCCAGGCGUCGAAUUUGUGUCAUCUGCAUGGGCAGGUGGAUUCUUAACCACUGGACCACCAGGGAAGUAAGUCCCAGGGCCCUCAAAACCCACUUAUGAUGGGAAAAAAAAAAUCUCCAGAAAGUGGGCAUAGGGGGAACCUGCCUCCACGUAAUAAAGAGCAUAUAUGACCAACUUCCCUGGUGGCUCAGACGGUAGAGUCUGCCUGCAGUGCUGGAGACCCGGGUUCAAUCCCCUGGAGAAGGAAAUGGCAACCCACUCCAGUAUUCUCGCCUGAGAAUCCCCUCGAUGGAAGAACCUGGCGGGCUACAGUCCAUGGGGUCGCAAAGAAUCAGACACGACUGAGCAACUUCACUUCACUUUCACGACAAACCCACAGUUAACAUCAUUCUCAAUGGUGAAAAGCUGAGAUCAUUUCCCUCUAAGAUCACGAACAAGACAAGGAUGUCCACUCUCACUGAGGCAGAAGUUAUAAUGAGCCCCAGGCUGAGCAGCUGGAAUCUGUCCUCUGUGAACAGAUACACCAGGAUAAAGAUAAUGGCAGCAGCAAGGAGGAGCUGAGUCCUUUCUGGAGAGAAGAAAAAGGGACCACACAUUUCUCAGUCUUGAGGUCAAGGAGACCUCCCAAACUACACAUACACAGAAAGGUUCCUCAGAGGUCAAGGAAAGCAGGGAGCACCAGACCAUAAUAUGUUCUUUUUCCCAGAAACCGUUGCACUGGAAUCCAUCUUGGCUAAAAGGUGUGCAAGCAGGAGGAGAGGACCCUGAGGUGGAUCAGACAUGGACUCAGAGCUAGACAAGGCAAGAUGACUGGCCAGAGGGAACCCAGAACCGACCCACAUGAUCUAGGGUCUUGAAACUGGCCACCGGCCCUCCUGGUCUAGUGGCGAGGAUUCGGUGCUCUCACUACCGCAGCCUGGCUUCAGUCCCUGGUUGGGGAACUGAGAUCCCACUUCAGGCUGUGGCAGGUGGAAGCCACCCAAGAUCAUUUUUGGUACCAAAAGCUGCAGGUUACCCAGCAUGGGAGGAAGCCCAUCCAAGCUGGAAGAAACACCUCUGGAUGUAUGCAUAAGAACUGGGAACUUUUUAAAAUAGAAACACUUUCAAACUGUGGUGUUGGAGAAGACUCUUGAGAGUCUCCUGGAGAGCAAGGAGAUUAAAUCAGUCCAUCCUAAAGGAAAUCAAGCCUGAAUAUUCAUUGGGAAGAUUGAUGCUGAAGCUGAAACUCCAAUACUUUGGCCCCCUGAUGUGAAGAACUGACUCAUUGGAAAAGACCCUGAUGCUGGGAAAGAUUGAGGGCUGGAAGAGAAGGGGACAACAGAGGCUGAGAUGGUUGGAGGGUAUCAUUGACUCAGUGAACAUGAGUUUGAGCAAGCUCUGGGACAUAGUGAAGGACAGGGAAACCUGGGGUGCUGCAAUCCAUGGGGUCACAAAGAGCUGGACACCACUGAGCGACUGGACAAAAACAAAGGAGGGAAAACAAAUUCUACUGCAACACUGCUUGGGUCUCUGUUCAACAAUGAAGAAAAAUGACAGGAGAAUAGCUCUCUAAAUUACAGCACCAUUCUGCAAUUGGGUCUUUAUUGCCCAAAGAUAGGAUAGUGGACUGAGAUUCCCUAUGUUGAAGUCCUCAUGGCCCUUUGCCAAGAUUCUGCCCCAACUCUUGUAAUCAAAAGCCCAAGGGACCAGAAAACUCUCUUGAGAUGAUCUCCUUCUAAUUCCCCCGACUCCUGAGGGGGAACUGAGCUCCCCGUACUCCUGACAGCACCCCUCCUUCUUCAGAGCACUCACUCUCUGGGCUCACCCACCUCCCUGGAUCCCUCUGACCCAUCCACAACUCCACGUCCCUAUGUCUCUCCCUGAUUCUCUCUUCCUCCUCAGCAUGGUCUUGAUUAUUAAAUACCCCAAAGGCCACCUCUAGGAGUGUGG